AUUGAACGCUGGCGGCAUGCCUUACACAUGCAAGUCGAACGGCAGCACGGGUGCUUGCACCUGGUGGCGAGUGGCGAACGGGUGAGUAAUACAUCGGAACAUGUCCUGUAGUGGGGGAUAGCCCGGCGAAAGCCGGAUUAAUACCGCAUACGAUCUACGGAUGAAAGCGGGGGACCUUCGGGCCUCGCGCUAUAGGGUUGGCCGAUGGCGGAUUAGCUAGUUGGUGGGGUAAAGGCCUACCAAGGCGACGAUCAGUAGCUGGUCGGAGAGGACGACCAGCCACACUGGGACUGAGACACGGCCCAGACUCCUACGGGAGGCAGCAGUGGGGAAUUUUGGACAAUGGGCGAAAGCCUGAUCCAGCAAUGCCGCGUGUGUGAAGAAGGCCUUCGGGUUGUAAAGCACUUUUGUCCGGAAAGAAAUCCUUGGCCCUAAUACGGUCGGGGGAUGACGGUACCGGAAGAAUAAGCACCGGCUAACUACGUG
rnacentral:rRNA from 1 species